rnacentral:tRNA from 1 species
GGUGUGACUCUGCGGUAGAGUGCUCGCCUCACAUGCGUGAGACCCUGGGUUUAAUCCUCAGCAUC